rnacentral:rRNA from 1 species
ACUAAGCGUACACGGUGGAUGCCUGGGCAGUCAGAGGCGAUGAAGGACGUACUAACUUGCGAUAAGCGCAGAUAAGGCAGUAAGAGCCGUUUGAGUCUGCGAUUUCCGAAUGGGGAAACCCAACUGCAUAAGCAGUUACUGUUAACUGAAUACAUAGGUUAACAGAGCAAACCGGGGGAACUGAAACAUCUAAGUACCCCGAGGAGAAGAAAUCAACCGAGAUUCCGGUAGUAGCGGCGAGCGAACCUGGAUUAGCCCUUAAGCACUCGGUGAAGUAGGUGAACAAGCUGGAAAGCUUGGCGAUACAGGGUGAUAGCCCCGUAACCGACGCUUCAUCGAGCGUGAAAUCGAGUAGGGCGGGACACGUGAUAUCCUGUCUGAAUAUGGGGGGACCAUCCUCCAAGGCUAAAUACUCCUGACUGACCGAUAGUGAACCAGUACCGUGAGGGAAAGGCGAAAAGAACCCCUGUGAGGGGAGUGAAAUAGAACCUGAAACCGUGUACGUACAAGCAGUAGGAGCACCUUCGUGGUGUGACUGCGUACCUUUUGUAUAAUGGGUCAGCGACUUAUAUUCAGUGGCAAGGUUAACCGUAUAGGGGAGCCGUAGCGAAAGCGAGUCUUAACUGGGCGCUCAGUCUCUGGAUAUAGACCCGAAACCGGGUGAUCUAGCCAUGGGCAGGUUGAAGGUUGAGUAACAUCAACUGGAGGACCGAACCGACUAAUGUUGAAAAAUUAGCGGAUGACUUGUGGCUAGGGGUGAAAGGCCAAUCAAACUCGGAGAUAGCUGGUUCUCCCCGAAAGCUAUUUAGGUAGCGCCUCGGACGAAUACUACUGGGGGUAGAGCACUGUUAAGGCUAGGGGGUCAUCCCGACUUACCAACCCUUUGCAAACUCCGAAUACCAGUAAGUACUAUCCGGGAGACACACGGCGGGUGCUAACGUCCGUCGUGGAGAGGGAAACAACCCAGACCGCCAGCUAAGGUCCCAAAGUAUUGCUAAGUGGGAAACGAUGUGGGAAGGCUCAGACAGCUAGGAUGUUGGCUUAGAAGCAGCCAUCAUUUAAAGAAAGCGUAAUAGCUCACUAGUCGAGUCGGCCUGCGCGGAAGAUGUAACGGGGCUAAGCAAUACACCGAAGCUGCGGCAAUGUCUUUUAGACAUUGGGUAGGGGAGCGUUCUGUAAGCCGUUGAAGGUGAAUCGUAAGGUUUGCUGGAGGUAUCAGAAGUGCGAAUGCUGACAUGAGUAACGACAAAGGGGGUGAAAAACCUCCUCGCCGGAAGACCAAGGGUUCCUGUCCAACGUUAAUCGGGGCAGGGUGAGUCGACCCCUAAGGUGAGGCCGAAAGGCGUAAUCGAUGGGAAACGGGUUAAUAUUCCCGUACUUCUGACUAUUGCGAUGGGGGGACGGAGAAGGCUAGGUGGGCCAGGCGACGGUUGUCCUGGUUCAAGUGCGUAGGCUUGAGAGUUAGGUAAAUCCGGCUCUCUCUAAGGCUGAGACACGACGUCGAGCUACUACGGUAGUGAAGUCAUUGAUGCCAUGCUUCCAGGAAAAGCCUCUAAGCUUCAGAUAGUCAGGAAUCGUACCCCAAACCGACACAGGUGGUCGGGUAGAGAAUACCAAGGCGCUUGAGAGAACUCGGGUGAAGGAACUAGGCAAAAUGGUACCGUAACUUCGGGAGAAGGUACGCUCUUGAUGGUGAAGUCCCUCGCGGAUGGAGCUGACGAGAGUCGCAGAUACCAGGUGGCUGCAACUGUUUAUUAAAAACACAGCACUGUGCAAAAUCGCAAGAUGACGUAUACGGUGUGACGCCUGCCCGGUGCCGGAAGGUUAAUUGAUGGGGUUAGCGCAAGCGAAGCUCUUGAUCGAAGCCCCGGUAAACGGCGGCCGUAACUAUAACGGUCCUAAGGUAGCGAAAUUCCUUGUCGGGUAAGUUCCGACCUGCACGAAUGGCGUAAUGAUGGCCACGCUGUCUCCACCCGAGACUCAGUGAAAUUGAAAUCGCUGUGAAGAUGCAGUGUACCCGCGGCUAGACGGAAAGACCCCGUGAACCUUUACUACAGCUUGGCACUGAACAUUGAACCUACAUGUGUAGGAUAGGUGGGAGGCUAUGAAGACGUGACGCCAGUUGCGUUGGAGCCGUCCUUGAAAUACCACCCUUGUAUGUUUGAUGUUCUAACUUAGACCCNGUGGCUUUCGGAGCUAACGCGUUAAGUAGACCGCCUGGGGAGUACGGUCGCAAGAUUAAAACUCAAAUGAAUUGACGGGGGCCCGCACAAGCGGUGGAGCAUGUGGUUUAAUUCGAUGCAACGCGAAGAACCUUACCUACUCUUGACAUCCAGAGAAUCUAGCGGAGACGCUGGAGUGCCUUCGGGAGCUCUGAGACAGGUGCUGCAUGGCUGUCGUCAGCUCGUGUUGUGAAAUGUUGGGUUAAGUCCCGCAACGAGCGCAACCCUUAUCCUUGUUUGCCAGCACGUAAUGGUGGGAACUCCAGGGAGACUGCCGGUGAUAAACCGGAGGAAGGUGGGGACGACGUCAAGUCAUCAUGGCCCUUACGAGUAGGGCUACACACGUGCUACAAUGGCGUAUACAGAGGGCAGCGAUACCGCGAGGUGGAGCGAAUCUCACAAAGUACGUCGUAGUCCGGAUUGG